UGGGGAAUUUUGGACAAUGGGCGAAAGCCUGAUCCAGCAAUGCCGCGUGUGUGAAGAAGGCCUUCGGGUUGUAAAGCACUUUUGUCCGGAAAGAAAUCCUUGGCUCUAAUACAGUCGGGGGAUGACGGUACCGGAAGAAUAAGCACCGGCUAACUACGUGCCAGCAGCCGCGGUAAUACGUAGGGUGCAAGCGUUAAUCGGAAUUACUGGGCGUAAAGCGUGCGCAGGCGGUUUGCUAAGACCGAUGUGAAAUCCCGGGCUCAACCUGGGAACUGCAUUGGUGACUGGCAGGCUAGAGUAUGGCAGAGGGGGGUAGAAUUCCACGUGUAGCAGUGAAAUGCGUAGAGAUGUGGAGGAAUACCGAUGGCGAAGGCAGCCCCUGGGCCAAUACUGACGCUCAUGCACGAAAGCGUGGGGAGCAAACAGGAUUAGAUACCCCUGGUAGUCCACGCCCUAAACGAUGUCAACUAGUUGUUGGGGAUUCAUUUCCUUAGUAACUAGCUAACGCGUGAAGUUGACCGCCU
rnacentral:rRNA from 1 species